GAUGAACGCUAGCUACAGGCUUAACACAUGCAAGUCGAGGGACCGGCGCACGUGUGUGUCACACGUAUCCCCCCUGCCCUUUACUCGGGCAUAGCCUUUCGAAAGAAAGAUUAAUACCCGAUAUAAAGGAUGGGGAUGCGUUCCAUUAGGUUGUUGGUGAGGUACCGGCUCACCAAGCCUUCGAUGGAUAGGGGUUCUGAGAGGAAGGUCCCCGACAUUGGAACUGAGACACGGUCCAAACGGGUACGGGAGGUAGAGGUGAGGAAUAUUGGGAAAAGGGCGCGAGCCUGAACCAGCCAAGUAGCGUGAAGGAUGAAGGCUUAUGGGGCGUAAACUACUUUUAUAUAAGAAUAUGUAUUAUAUGAAUAAGGAUCGGCUAACUACGUGCCAGCAGCCGCGGUAAUUC
rnacentral:rRNA from 1 species